CGUGUAGGCGGUAAUGUAAGUCAGACGUGAAAUCCUUUGGCUCAACUGAAGAACUGCGUCUGAAACUGCAUGACUAGAGUGCAGAAGAGGGAAACGGAAUUCCUGGUGUAGAGGUGAAAUUCGUAGAUAUCAGGAGGAACACCGGUGGCGAAGGCGGUUUCCUGGUCUGACACUGACGCUGAGGCGCGAAAGCGUGGGGAGCAAACAGGAUUAGAUACCCUGGUAGUCCACGCCGUAAACGGUGGGUACUGGGUGUGGGAGGUGUAAUGCCUUCUGUGCCGAAGCUAACGCGUUAAGUACCCCGCCUGGGGAGUACGGCCGCAAGGUUGAA
rnacentral:rRNA from 1 species